GAUGAAGAACGAAGCGAAAUGCGAUAAGUAAUGUGAAUUGCAGAAUUCAGUGAAUCAUCGAAUCUUUGAACGCACAUUGCGCCCCUUGGUAUUCCGAGGGGCAUGCCUGUUCGAGCGUCAUUAUAACCCUCAAGCUCAGCUUGGUGUUGGGGCCUGCUGCACUGGCAGCCCUUAAAAUCAGUGGCGGCGCCAUCUGGCUCUAAGCGUAGUAAUUCUUCUCGCUAUGGAGUCCUGGUGGAUGCUUGCCAUCAACCCCCAAUUUUUCUAUGGUUGACCUCGGAUCAGGUAGGGAUACCCGCUGAACUUAAGCAUAUCAAUAAGCGGAGGA
rnacentral:misc_RNA from 1 species